AACGAACGCUGGCGGCAUGCCUAACACAUGCAAGUCGAACGCUCGUAGCAAUACGAGAGUGGCGGACGGGUGAGAAACGCGUGGGUACCUGCCCUGUAGUACGGAAUAACCGCGGGAAACUGCGGCUAAUACCGUAUACGCCCCAAGGGGGAAAGAUUUAUCGCUGCAGGAGGGGCCCGCGUCGGAUUAGCUAGUUGGUGAGGUAACGGCCCACCAAGGCGAUGAUCCGUAGCUGGUCUGAGAGGACGACCAGCCACACUGGGACUGAGACACGGCCCAGACUCCUACGGGAGGCAGCAGUGGGGAAUAUUGGACAAUGGGGGAAACCCUGAUCCAGCAAUGCCGCGUGAGUGAAGAAGGCCUUAGGGUUGUAAAGCUCUUUCAGCGGGGAAGAUGAUGACGGUACCCGCAGAAGAAGCCCCGGCUAACUCCGUGCCAGCAGCCGCCGUAACAC
rnacentral:rRNA from 1 species